UGGGGAAUUUUGGACAAUGGGGGCAACCCUGAUCCAGCCAUCCCGCGUGUGCGAUGAAGGCCUUCGGGUUGUAAAGCACUUUUGGCAGGGAAGAAACAGCCUGGGCUAAUAUCCCGGGCGACUUACGGUACCUGCAGAAUAAGCACCGGCUAACUACGUGCCAGCAGCCGCGGUAAUACGUAGGGUGCAAGCGUUAAUCGGAAUUACUGGGCGUAAAGCGUGCGCAGGCGGUUCGGAAAGAAAGGUGUGAAAUCCCAGGGCUUAACCUUGGAACUGCACUUUUAACUACCGGGCUAGAGUACGUCAGAGGGGGGUAGAAUUCCACGUGUAGCAGUGAAAUGCGUAGAGAUGUGGAGGAAUACCGAUGGCGAAGGCAGCCCCCUGGGAUGAUACUGACGCUCAUGCACGAAAGCGUGGGGAGCAAACA
rnacentral:rRNA from 1 species